UACAGAGGGUGCGAGCGUUAAUCGGAAUUACUGGGCGUAAAGCGCGCGUAGGCGGCUUUGCAAGUCGGGUGUGAAAUCCCCAGGCUUAACCUGGGAACUGCAUUCGAGACUGCAUUGCUAGAGUAUGGGAGAGGGAAGUGGAAUUUCCGGUGUAGCGGUGAAAUGCGUAGAUAUCGGAAGGAACAUCAGUGGCGAAAGCGACUUCCUGGACCAAUACUGACGCUCAGGCGCGAAAGCGUGGGGAGCAAACGGG
rnacentral:rRNA from 1 species